UCCCGUUUAGCUCAGUGGUAGAGCGCAUCACUUGUAUAAGCAGAUGAUGAGGUCAGUCGUUCAAUCCGGCUAACGGGAA